rnacentral:rRNA from 1 species
UCCCAGACUCCUACGGGAGGCAGCAGUGGGGAAUAUUGCACAAUGGGGGAAACCCUGAUGCAGCAACGCCGCGUGAGUGAAGAAGUCAUUCGUGAUGUAAAGCUCUAUCAGCAGGGAAGAAAAUGACGGUACCUGAGUAAGAAGCCCCGGCUAACUACGUGCCAGCAGCCGCGGUAAUACGUAGGGGGCAAGCGUUAUCCGGAUUUACUGGGCGUAAAGGGAGCGCAGGCGGCGCGCCAAGUCUGAUGUGAAACCCCGGGGCUCAACCCCGGGCAUGCAUUGGAAACUGGCGGGCUGGAGUGCCGGAGAGGUAAGCGGAAUUCCUAGUGUAGCGGUGAAAUGCGUAGAUAUUAGGAGGAACACCAGUGGCGAAGGCGGCUUACUGGACGGCAACUGACGCUGAGGCUCGAAAGCGUGGGGAGCAAACAGGAUUAGAUACCCUAGUAGCC